AGAGAGGCCUGGCAUGCUUCCAUUCUGUCUCUUAGGGUCCUGCCACCACCACAUAUGUUAGCCUGCUGGAGGACGACAGCCAGCCAACCUCCAGACAUAUUGUCUAACCAGACUGGAUUCUGUCAAAGCAGAUGUGUCUAAGAUGCUAGAAAUGAAUGCAUACCAAAGGACACAAUUGAAUAAUGCUGGACAGAGAAUUCUGCAAGACAGUCUGCCUAGCCAGAGUAGCAAGGGAAGGCACCGAGUCAGCUACUGAGAAUGAAUUUUGAAACAGAGACUUGUCAAAGGCAUAGAAAAAUUGCAAAAGUGGCAACAACAUUUAUGGUAAUUACAUAGGAUCCACAGAGCACUUUCACAUCAGCUAUCUCAUUUAACCCUCAAGAUGCCUCAGAGAUGACAGGAAGCAUGGACAUGCAUUGAGUCACUUGACUUGGCCAAGAUGUAUUGGCAAGUUGAAGUAUAUUGGGAGCUGGGAAUGACCAUUUUCCUCCAUUCAUAUGGACAUCUUAUAAUCAUUUCUUAAUAUACCUUUACUGUAGAGCCUUCACUGCA
ensembl:lncRNA novel transcript